CCUACGGGAGGCAGCAGUGGGGAAUUUUGGACAAUGGGCGCAAGCCUGAUCCAGCAAUGCCGCGUGAGUGAAGAAGGCCUUCGGGUUGUAAAGCUCUUUUGUCAGGGAAGAAAAGGUUACGAAUAAUACUCGUGGCUCAUGACGGUACCUGAAGAAUAAGCACCGGCUAACUACGUGCCAGCAGCCGCGGUAAUACGUAGGGUGCAAGCGUUAAUCGGAAUUACUGGGCGUAAAGCGUGCGCAGGCGGUUUUGUAAGUCUGUUGUGAAAUCCCCGGGCUCAACCUGGGAAUGGCAAUGGAGACUGCAAGGCUAGAGUUUGGCAGAGGGGGGUAGAAUUCCACGUGUAGCAGUGAAAUGCGUGGAUAUGUGGAGGAACACCGAUGGCGAAGGCAGCCCCCUGGGUCAAAACUGACGCUCAUGCACGAAAGCGUGGGGAGCAAACAGGAUUAGAUACCCUGGUAGUCCACGCCCUAAACGAUGUCUACUAGUUGUCGGGUCUUAAUUGACUUGGUAACGCAGCUAACGCGUGAAGUAGACCGCCUGGGGAGUACGGUCGCAAGAUUAAAACUCAAAGGAAUUGACGG
rnacentral:rRNA from 1 species